rnacentral:rRNA from 1 species
AACGAACGCUGGCGGCAGGCUUAACACAUGCAAGUCGAACGCCCCGCAAGGGGAGUGGCAGACGGGUGAGUAACACGUGGGAACGUGCCCUUCGCCUCGGGAUAGCCUCGGGAAACUGGGAGUAAUACCGAAUACGCCGUAUUGGGAAGAUUUAUCGGCGAAGGAUCGGCCCGCGUUGGAUUAGCUAGUUGGCGGUGUAAUGGACCACCAAGGCUACGAUCCAUAGCUGGUCUGAGAGGACGACCAGGCCCACACUGGGACUGAGACACGGCCCAGACUCCUACGGAGGCAGCAGUGGGAAUCUUGGACAAUGGGCGCGAAGCCUGAUCCAGCCAUGCCGCGUGAGUGAAGAAGGCCUUAGGGUUGUAAA